UUUCCGUAGGUGAACCUGCGGAAGGAUCAUUAAAGAGUGAGGGACUUCGGGUGCGUUCUCUACCCCUUUGUUUAACUACAAUGCACCUCUUGCCGGCCCGUCUCUCGACCGCCGAGGGCUUGGCUUUGACCCAACUUAUGGCCCGCCCUUGUUUGUCGCACCUUCAAUUUCUCAAUCAAAUUUUUAGUCUUAGUUAAUAACUUAAUAGACAAAACUUCCAACAACGGACCCCUUGGUUAUGGCCUCGACGAAGAACGCAGCAGAUCGUAAGAGCACCAG
rnacentral:misc_RNA from 1 species